rnacentral:rRNA from 1 species
GUGGGGAAUAUUGCACAAUGGGCGAAAGCCUGAUGCAGCAACGCCGCGUGAAGGAUGAAGGCCUUUGGGUCGUAAACUUCUGUCCUUGGGGAAGAAAAAAAUGACGGUACCCCUGGAGGAAGUCCCGGCUAACUACGUGCCAGCAGCCGCGGUAAUACGUAGGGGGCGAGCGUUAUCCGGAAUUAUUGGGCGUAAAGAGUACGUAGGUGGUUUUUUAAGCGCAGGGUUUAAGGCGAUGGCUCAACUGUCGUUCGCCCUGUGAACUGGAAGACUUGAGUACAGGAGAGGAAAGCGGAAUUCCUAGUGUAGCGGUGAAAUGCAUAGAUAUUAGGAGGAACACCAGUGGCGAAGGCGGCUUUCUGGACUGUAACUGACACUGAGGUACGAAAGCGUGGGGAGCAAACAGGAUUAGAUACCCUAGUAGUCC